UAGUCCACUCUUUUCUAGGAAGCUGGGC
rnacentral:piRNA from 1 species